CGAAAAAAGAUUAUAUUCAAUAUUACCUUUUAUUUUGUUGCAGCGCCAGCCCAUUGCCAUAACUGCAUCCUUUACAUGGACAUCUUCAAUCUACAAUAUAAACCGCGGGAGCCAUUGGUCUCAUUUCAACAAGCUGCUUUCUCUAAGAUGGUAAGGCCUGGUGAUGGAAAAAUAACCAUUGGAGGUCCAUCUAGCAACACAUGUAAGCUUGAAGAUCAUUUUGGAGAGGGCAUCAUGCUCCCCUGCGGUGCUAGUGUUGCUGGAGGAGGCAAUGUUGUCCAGGGCAGCGACGUUCAGCAUCUUGAUGUCCCCAACAAUCUUGUUCCUUUGAUGGUGAAACAAAUAACAUUGCUAACUCCUUCAGCACAAUAUGGAGGUGCCCUGAGCCUCCAUGGUAUGCCUAUCAUCACUGGUCGUCUCGUCGGUAUGAUGCGGAAUCGUCAGGACUUGGACAGCGAAAUUGUGUUUGACUUCGAUGACGGUACUGGCAGGAUUAAGGCCAGGAUAUGGUCAGUGUAGGCUGAGUUCAUGCGUUCCAUGGACACUGCUAAGAAUGGUGAUUACAUUGUUCUGAAUGGAGGUAUCAGGGGUGGUACUCAUGACAUGCACAUACGCGUAUACUCCGUCAGGUACGGUUCUUUUAGUAUGUUGUGACCAUUAAUGCAGUAAUUCGCUGAAAAUGUAGUUCAUUCAGCUGGCCAUGUGUAAUGAAAAUGAUAUUGCAACAUCGUCACCAACUACAACGACAUCACGCACCACUUCCUUUCUUGCAUCUACGUUCACUUGGAUCUGAGAAAGCAGGCGAGUGUGCUUAAAUGUAUUGUCAAGAUCGUCAUGUUUGAAAUCCGUAUGUAUCUACAUAAUUUAUUCUAUCAUUUUUACGUCAAGCAAAUAGGGAUCGGCAAGAGGCUACUUCAGUGGUUCCACAGGAGUGUAUUUCACUGCAUAAUAGAGGCAACUCACUGUUUGACUCUGUACUUCGGGUAUUCUAUCACCCCGGGAUAAUGUAAUUGACACAACAGCCAUGGAGAUCCACUAAUAUACAUAUUGCUAUAUUUUUUAUUUUGUUAUGUCACCGUUUGGUUUCUAACAGAGAGCUUGAAAAUGGCGCGUCAUUUUCUUUGAUAAGGUCUGAAACUGGUGUCGGCGAGGAUCAACUUAGGAUUGUCAUCGGAGCUCAUGUGGCUAUUGGGAAUCUCUUCACCACCAUCGAUGAAGAUCACUUCAAGUGCUCAUUCAAUGGCUAGUGCUCCUAUCCGUCAUGGAGUGAGAACCUUUCGAUGAAACGAG